AGUGAACGCUGGCGGCGUGCUUAACACAUGCAAGUCGAACGAGAACGGAUUAUAGCUUGCUAUAAUUGUCAGCUAAGUGGCGCACGGGUGAGUAAUGUAUAGGUAAUAUGCCUCUUACUAAGGGAUAACAAAUGGAAACGUUUGCUAAUACCUUAUACUCCUUAUUAACAUAAGUUAAUAAGGGAAAGAUUUAUUGGUAAGAGAUUAGCCUGUAUUGUAUCAGUUAGUUGGUGGGGUAAUGGCUUACCAAGACUAUGACACAUAACUGGUUUGAGAGGAUGAUCCGUCACACUGGAACUGAGACACGGUCCAGACUCCUACGGGAGGCAGCAGUGGAGAAUAUUGCACAAUUGACGCAAGUCUGAUGCAGCAACUCCGCGUGGAGGAUGACACAGUUCGGAGCGUAAACGCCUUUUAUAUGAGAAGAUAAUGACCGUAUUAUAUCAACAAGCACCGGCUAACUCCGUGCCAGCCGCCGCAGUAA
rnacentral:rRNA from 1 species